rnacentral:rRNA from 1 species
GACGAACGCUGGCGGCGUGCCUAAUACAUGCAAGUUGAGCGAUGAAGAUUGGUGCUUGCACCAAUUUGAAGAGCAGCGAACGGGUGAGUCACGCGUGGGGAAUCUGCCUUUGAGCGGGGGACAACAUUUGGAAACGAAUGCUAAUACCGCAUAAUAACUUUAAACAUAAGUUUUAAGUUUGAAAGAUGCAAUUGCAUCACUCAAAGAUGAUCCCGCGUUGUAUUAGCUAGUUGGUGAGGUAAAGGCUCACCAAGGCGAUGAUACAUAGCCGACCUGAGAGGGUGAUCGGCCACAUUGGGACUGAGACACGGCCCAAACUCCUACGGGAGGCAGCAGUAGGGAAUCUUCGGCAAUGGACGAAAGUCUGACCGAGCAACGCCGCGUGAGUGAAGAAGGUUUUCGGAUCGUAAAACUCUGUUGGUAGAGAAGAACGUUGGUGAGAGUGGAAAGCUCAUCAAGUGACGGUAACUACCCAGAAAGGGACGGCUAACUACGUG